UCGAAUCCUGCGAAGCAGACGACCCGUGAACAUGUUUUUCUUCGCACGGGCAUCGGACCUGGGAAACCACGGGCCGGUGCCCGCGCACGGCGUCGGCCUUGGUCGUUCGUCGUGUUAAACCCUAAACCCGGCGCUGCAAAGCGCCAAGGAAAACCAGAAAUGGACAGCCCGCCCUCUCGACGCCCCGUACGCGGUGUGCUCGAGAGGAUCGCGUGCGCCUGUUGUAACCAAAUACGACUCUCGGCAACGGAUAUCUCGGCUCUCGCAUCGAUGAAGAACGUAGCGAACUGCGAUACUUGGUGUGAAUUGCAGAAUCCCGUGAACCAUCGAGUCUUUGAACGCAAGUUGCGCCCGAAGCCAUUAGGCCAAGGGCACGUCUGCCUGGGCGUCACGCAUCGCGUCGCCCCCAACACCCCGUGCACCGUAUGGUACAGGUGGUGGCUAGGGGCGGAGACUGGCCUCCCGUGCCCGUGCGCGGCUGGCCUAAAUGCGAGUCACUCGCGACGGACGCGACAACAAGUGGUGGUUGAUUACCUCAACUCUAGUGCUGUCGUUGCGGCCCCGUCGAAGGAGGAGACUGACCCGACCCUGUAGCACGUGUCGUCACGACGCAUGCCACGA
rnacentral:rRNA from 1 species